rnacentral:ncRNA from 1 species
UGGUCCUGGCCUUGCAGUCAGCUUGUACUUAACUUACACAUGCAAGUAUCCGCACCCCUGUGAGAACGCCCUUAACAUCCUUUUAGGAAUAAGGAGCUGGUAUCAGGCACAUUAAUUUGCCCAAGACACCUAGCCAUGCCACACCCACAAGGGAACUCAGCAGUGAUUAACAUUGAACAUGAGCGACAGCUCGAUUCAGUUAAAGUACACAAAGCCGGCCAAUCUGGUGCCAGCCGCCGCGGUUACACCAAGAGGCUUAAGUUGACCCCAAUCGGCGUAAAGCGUGAUUAAAGUUACCACAAAAUAAAGUUAAACUAGAACUAAGCCGUAAAACGCUUGUUGCUAGGAGAUCCAAAGACGAAAGUUACUUUAUCUAAAACAACUUGAACUCACGACAGCUGGGAAACAAACUGGGAUUAGAUACCCCACUAUGCCCAGCCGUAAACUUUAAAUUACACCCCCAAUCGCCAGGGAACUACGAGCUAAGCUUAAAACCCAAAGGACUUGACGGUACCCCACAUCCACCUAGAGGAGCCUGUCCUAUAAUCGAUAACCCCCGCUUAACCUCACCAUUUUUAGCCCAUCAGCCUGUAUACCUCCGUCGUCAGCUUACCACGUGAGCGUGGUUCAGUAAGCUUAAUGUCCCAGCGUCAAUACGUCAGGUCAAGGUGCAGUAAAUAAAAUGGGAAGAGAUGGGCUACACUUUCUAAUUUAGAAUAAACGAAAGACUACCUAUGAAAUCUAGUCAGAAGGCGGAUUUAGAAGUAAAAAGAAAUCAGAGAGUUCUUUUUAACCCGGCACUGGGGUGUGUACACACCGCCCGUCACCCUCUUCAAAGCUAAAAAACCAGUAUUUAACAAACUCCUGCAAAUUAGAAGAGGUAAGUCGUAACAUGGUAAGCGUACCGGAAGGUGCGCUUGGAAA